rnacentral:lncRNA from 1 species
UUCAAUUAUCCUUUCAAAUCAUCACUUUACUUGCUUCGAUUACAGCUAGUAUUUAACUCCUAAGCUAAUGCUAUUAGCUUAAAUUGGCUAUUCAGACAUGAUUGAUAUCUUCAUAAUACUUUGAAGAUAUAAUUAAAAUGUUUUGAAGUUUGAAAUGGAUUUAAAAUAUGGAUUGUAGUGAAAAAGAGUAACUAUAUUAUGGAUACUCUUAUACUAAGAGCUAGAUAACAUUUUGCAUCUUUUACUAAAAAAUGGACAAGUUAAACCAUAUAUAUUAGAUUAAAGAGUAAAUUAAAUUUUUUAUUAAAAUUGUUAUUGAUUUAUACUAUUAAAAAUUAGCGUGAAUAAUAGAAUAAUCAAAUAGGGACACUUGAUGUGCCACAUGUACAAAAACUAAUUUUUAACACAAAAUGGAUUGAAUUUUUAACAAAAGAACCAAUUUACUGUUUGAGCGUAGAAAGACUAAUUUACUCAUUUUUUAAAUAAAAAAAAUAAAAUGCAAUUCGAUUUUUAAUAUGGAGGACUCCAUUUACUUUUACCUGAAAAAUACAUUUGGUACAAUUAACCCAAUCAUCAGCAUGUGAUAUGGUUCAAUAAUUUGAUAGCCAAACCAUGUUCUUGGCAGCCGGAACUUUGAAUUCCGAUGAGCCAAGAGACCUUGAUCUGGCGUACAAAGAUCGGUUUUUCCUCCAACCAUUGACUCCGGCACAAGCGGCUCAGAGGGCAAAGGAAUCAGCCAAAGACAUCCUUGGUGUCAAGACCUUGAUCGACAAAAAAGCAUGGCCCUAUGUCAUGAAUGACCUUCGUCUCAAGGCUGAGUACCUCCGCUUUGACCUUAAAACUGUUAUUUCUUCCAAGCCCAAAGAUGAAAAGAAAUCUCUCGAUGAACUCACUAAAAAGCUCUUCAAUACCAUUGAUGGAGUAAGUUUUGAAGUAUACAGAUUAAUUUAUAUUAUUUAACGAAAUAUUAUAACUUAC